rnacentral:tRNA from 1 species
AUUAAGGUGGCAGAUUAGUGUGAAGGAUUUAAGAUCCUUUUAUGAAAAUUUAUUUAUUUUCUCUUAAUA